GAUACCCCAGGUCAGGUGUGGCCACCCGCUGAGUUUAAGCAUAUCAAUAAGCGG
rnacentral:rRNA from 1 species